rnacentral:lncRNA from 1 species
AAAGAUCUAUAAGUACAACAAAUUGAAACAAAAAAACAAAACAUAGUACUUUUAUGACAUAAUAAAGUGAUCAUCAAUUCAUUUCUAUUUGUUGUAAGCUUAAUUAAGAGGAAAGUUAUGGCUGAAAUUAUUAAAUUUGUUUAUUUAAUGAUCUUUAUUUCCUUAUUAUAUGCGGUAGUUGAAGUUGCUGGUAAGUAAUUAUUUGAAUCCUUUUCAACUUUAUUAUUUAUCUUAUACAAAAUAAUUCACCAUUUUUAAUAAUAUUUGUUUUUUUUUAUAUUACAGGAAUUGCAAGGUUACAUUGCAGAUAUGACUCUGAUUGUUCCAAAUUUAAUUGUGCACCUCCUAUGGUUCCAAAAUGCAUUAGUUAUCAAUGUAGAUGUCAUUAGUUUAUAAGUAAACUCGAUCGUAAGAGAUUAAUAUUGAAAUCUCAAAAGACAAAUUUAAUAUUUCAUUUCUAAUAAUUAUGAAAUGGCCAUUAGAGCUAUUAUUAUUAAUAAAGAAUAAAUGUUAAUA